AAGUCGUAACAAGGUAACCGUAGGUGAACCUGCGGUUGGAUCAUUAACAAAAACUUAAUGAAACUUGAGCUUCUUUUUUGAACUUGGCUUUUAAUAAACCAAGUGACAUCAAGAGUUCAACAACCCCAAACCUGUGAACUGUUUUACUGUGAAUCCACAACUGCUCUUUUUUACAAAAAGAAUGGUUGAGAUUUGUGAGUGUAUGUGGCGAGAGGAAAUUUAGUUUUCAGCUCGCCCGUCACUUGUGAUCUCUUCUAUUUCAAUUGUAAACCUCUGCAGUGGUGGACCUUGACAACAAACUUUCUUACAAACAAGUGACUUUUUUUUUCAACUAAAAAAGUUUUGAGAAUCCUAUUGAAAAACGGGAUCUCAGAUUUUUAAAGUAUAAAUGAAAACAACUUUUGACAACGGAUCUCUUGGCUCUC
rnacentral:misc_RNA from 1 species